CUGGUGGGCUCUGGGGGCAUCUUGGUGAGAGGAGGGUCCUCUCCGGAGACUGAGACAUUGGUGGAGCAGUUGUUGGCCCAGAGCUUCCCCACAGCAAUAAGUCCCCUGACAGAGACUGAAUACCUGACACACGACAUCAAGUGAAGAAGGGAUCUCAGUAGCCCGUCAUGAAGUGAGUGUCAUCUGACUCAGCAAGCCAAAGCGUUGGGCACUCAUAGCACCAGUCGAUCAGCAAGUACAAAUAGGAUAUGAGAAACUGGGCUCCAAGAAGUCCAGAGGCACAAGAAAGUUGCACCAACAGGUGGCUGAG
rnacentral:lncRNA from 1 species